AGUUGGAAGUUGCGAUAAAAGAAAAUAAAAUGGAUCAAGUGAUAAUGCGAAUGUCCCCUAGUUGGCAUGCAGAAGGACAAAAAAAUUUCAAAGUUGAAUCAACAAGUAUGUAUUAUAUACUUGGAUGAGGGACCAACGUUGAAGAAAUGCAACCUGCUAAAUACUCUAGCAAUAGCUAAACAAAUUAAUAAAAUACGGCAAUCGUUCUUGCUUAACUGAGAAACAGCAAACGAUUGUCAAUAAUUUGAACUAAGAAAUCCAACGGACAAUGAUAUGAUACCAAAGAUAUAGCUGCCCGAUGAGUGAUUUAAAAUAUGAUUAUUUAAUCCUUGUUAAAGAAAACAACAUCAAUGAACUUGAUGAUUGUAAUGAGGACCGUAGAUGGAUGUCAAGAUAAAUUUAAACCGAAACCAAGGGUAAAGAAUAAGAUAAAAAAUAAAAUAGGAGCGGUUUUAAAUUGGGCGUAAAAUAUCUAAAAACAAGGCGAAUGAUGACGAAGGAAUACAUGCAAUACCGA